rnacentral:rRNA from 1 species
UACGAAGGGGGCUAGCGUUGUUCGGAAUCACUGGGCGUAAAGCGCACGUAGGCGGAUUGCUAAGUCAGGGGUGAAAUCCUGGAGCUCAACUCCAGAACUGCCUUUGAUACUGAAGAUCUUGAGUUCGGGAGAGGUGAGUGGAACUGCGAGUGUAGAGGUGAAAUUCGUAGAUAUUCGCAAGAACACCAGUGGCGAAGGCGGCUCACUGGCCCGAUACUGACGCUGAGGCACGAAAGCGUGGGGAGCAAACAGG